UACGAAGGGGGCUAGCGUUGCUCGGAAUCACUGGGCGUAAAGGGUGCGUAGGCGGGCCUUUAAGUCAGGGGUGAAAUCCUGGAGCUCAACUCCAGAACUGCCUUUGAUACUGAAGAUCUUGAGUCCGGGAGAGGUGAGUGGAACUGCGAGUGUAGAGGUGAAAUUCGUAGAUAUUCGCAAGAACACCAGUGGCGAAGGCGGCUCACUGGCCCGAUACUGACGCUGAGGCACGAAAGCGUGGGGAGCAAACAGG
rnacentral:rRNA from 1 species